rnacentral:rRNA from 1 species
AGCCCAAACCGGCUGGAUUCGUUCAGCCGGGGUUGUAGGGCCGGCAUAUGUGAUUCAUGAGUAGGCAGGGGAAAUGAGCUGGAAAGCUCUGCCAGAGCGGGUGACAGCCCCGUACCUGAAACCGAAAGCGACACAGCCGGUACCUGAGUACCGCGAGACACGUGGAACCUCGUGGGAAUCCGGGAGGACCAUCUUCCAAGGCUAAGUACUAACCGACGACCGAUAGUGUACCAGUACCGUGAGGGAAAGGUGAAAAGAACCUCUGUUAGAGGAGUGAAAUAGAAUCUGAAACCUGGUGCUUACAAGCUGUGAGAGCGGACUUGUUCCGUGAUCACGUGCCUUUUGCAUAAUGAGUCAGCGAGUUAAUCUGUACUGCAAGGUUAAGCGCAAGUGGAGCCGUAGGGAAACCGAGUCUGACAAGGGCGAUGAGUAGUGCGGAUUAGACCCGAAACCGGGUGAUCUAUCCAUGAGCAGGUUGAAGCAAGGGUAAAACCUUGUGGAGGACCGAACCAAUACCGGCUGAAAACGGUUUGGAUGACUUGUGGAUAGGGGUGAAAGGCCAAUCAAACCCGGUGAUAGCUGGUUCUCCCCGAAAUAUAUUGAGGUAUAGCCUCAUGGAUUGUCUACCGGAGGUAAAGCACUGACAGGGCUAGGGGUCCUACCAGAUUACCAAACCCUAUCAAACUCAGAAUGCCGGUCAGAUGUACCAUGGGAGUCAGACGGCGGGUGCUAAGGUCCGUCGUCGAGAGGGUAAGAGCCCAGAUCAACAGCUAAGGUCUCCAAAUCUAUGCUCAGUGGUUAAGGUGGUGACGUUGUAGAGACACCCAGGACGUUGGCUUAGAAGCAGCCAUCGUUUAAAGAAAGCGUAAUAGCUCACUGGUCUAAUGACGUUGCGCCGAAAAUGUAACGGGGCUAAGCAUAGUACCGAAGCUUUGAAUUCCGCAUAUGCGGUCUGGUAGGGGAGCGUUCUUCACGGGCUGAAGGUGUGUCGUAAGGCAUGCUGGACUGUGGAGAAGUGAUUAUGCUGACAUGAGUAACGAUAAAACGGGUGAAAAACCCGUUCGCCGUAAACCCAAGGUUUUCCGGGUAAAGGUAAUCUUCCCGGAGUUAGUCGGCCCCUAAGGCGAGGCUGAAAGGCGUAGCUGAUGGGAAACGUGUUAAUAUUCACGUACUUGUGUGUUCGCGCGAUGAAGGGACGCAGGAAGAUAGGCAAGCCGGGCGCUGGUUGUCCCGGUGCAAGCGUGUAGGGAUGAGAAGUUGGCAAAUCCGCUUCUCUCUAUCCUGAGACGCGAGUCCGUGACCGAAAGGUCUGAAGUUGUUGAGUCUAUGCUGCCUAGAAAAGCUUCUAAGUAUAGGACACGCAAACCGUACCGGAAACCAACUCAGGUGGGUGGGAUGAAUAAUCCAAGGCGCUCGAGAGAACUCUGGCCAAGGAACUCGGCAAAAUAACCCCGUACCUUCGGAAGAAGGGGUGCUUUUUAGGGUGAAGCGAUUCACUCUGUCGAGCCCUGAAAAGCCGCAGAGAAAUGGUGGUGGCGACUGUUUACUAAAAACAUAGGUCUGUGCCAAGUCGUAUAGACGACGUAUACGGACUGACGCCUGCCCGGUGCUGGAAGGUUAAAAGGAGGAGUCAGCGCAAGCGAAGCUCCGAAUUGAAGCCCCAGUAAACGGCGGCCGUAACUAUAACGGUCCUAAGGUAGCGAAAUUCCUUGUCGGGUAAGUUCCGACCUGCACGAAUGGCGUAACGAUCUCCACACUGUCUCGGCCAGAGACUCGGUGAAAUUGAAGUCGCGGUGAAAAUGCCGUGUACCCGCAGAAAGACGGAAAGACCCUGUGCACCUUUACUAUAGCUUGACAUUGGGAUUUGAGCCUGCAUGUGUAGCAUAGGUGGGAGGCUGUGAACUCUGUACGCCAGUAUGGAGGGAGCCAUCGUUGAAAUACCACCCUUGUUUGUUCAGGUCCCUAACUCUUCGCCGUGAUCCGGUAGGAGGACAGUGUCUGGUGGGUAGUUUGACUGGGGCGGUCGCCUCCCAAAAUGUAACGGAGGCAUGCAAAGGUUCCCUCAGGCUGAUUGGAAACCAGCCGUCGAGUGCAAACGCAAAAGGGAGCUUGACUGCAAGAGAGACAUCUCGAGCAGGUACGAAAGUAGGUGUUAGUGAUCCGGUGAUCCCGAAUGGAAGGGUCAUCGCUCAUUGGAUAAAAGGUACGCCGGGGAUAACAGGCUGAUCGCAUCCAAGAGUUCACAUCGACGAUGCGGUUUGGCACCUCGAUGUCGGCUCAUCACAUCCUGGGGCUG